UUCAUAGAUCCUCUGCAUUUCUUGAAGGAAAUGAAUGACCCAUUUUCCUUGGUUUUUAACUAAAAAGAAAAUAAAAAUUACAUGCAUGCAAAGAAGAAUUACAAAUGACGCAGUGCUGGAUCACUGUUAAUCUUUUUGAUUGGUGUUGUGAUUGCCCGUAAUUAUUCCAGUCGGCGUGCCCCGCGUUUGUGUAUGGGACAGAGGACUGGCUUUUGGUGGUGGUAUUUCCUCACAAGUGCAGUGACCAUCUCACCAUGUGUGGGUGCACGUGUGUGUAUACAGUGAAGUGCAGUGAUUCACCUAUAAGGGGUAUGGUCUGAUUAUCUGCUUCUUUGUACUGAUAAGCUCUGGUAAGUUUGGCUGAAGAAUGUUUCUUUAUUUAUUUUAAUAUUGUUUUAAUGCUGUCAAUAAAGAUACUUUUGUACUGUUA